UUGAUUUCAAAUCGAAGAAGAGCUCAUGUCGUAAAAGCUCUUCGAAUCCCUUCUCUCACUUUGAGCUCAGAACCUCCUCUACUCUCACUUCCGGCUCUCGAUUUUGCAGAUUGGUUUUGCUUUCUUGAAAUAAUCUUGUUCGUGAUACUUUGUCUGCCAUCUACUUCUGGAAUAACAAAAAUCCGAGAAAAAAACAGACUGGCGGAAAUUAUAGUAGCAAGCAGCAACCGAGAUGAUGAUGGCGACAACGAGAAUGCAGGAGGAAUUGUUUUCAAAAGGUUACGGCAUUUGAGACUUCUUCAAC